GACGAACGCUGGCGGCGUGCCUAAUACAUGCAAGUCGAGCGGACCACUUCGGUGGUCAGCGGCGGACGGGUGAGUAACACGUGGGCAACCUGCCUGUAAGACUGGGAUAACACCGGGAAACCGGUGCUAAUACCGGAUAAUCCUUUCCUUCACAUGAAGGGAAGCUGAAAGACGGUUUCGGCUGUCACUUACAGAUGGGCCCGCGGCGCAUUAGCUAGUUGGUGAGGUAACGGCUCACCAAGGCAACGAUGCGUAGCCGACCUGAGAGGGUGAUCGGCCACACUGGGACUGAGACACGGCCCAGACUCCUACGGGAGGCAGCAGUAGGGAAUCUUCCGCAAUGGACGAAAGUCUGACGGAGCAACGCCGCGUGAGCGAUGAAGGCCUUCGGGUCGUAAAGCUCUGUUGUCAGGGAAGAACAAGUACCGGAGUAACUGCCGGCACCUUGACGGUACCAGACAGAAAGCCACGGCUAACUACGUGCCAGCAGCCGCCGUAAAAC
rnacentral:rRNA from 1 species